AACGAACGCUGGCGGCAGGUUUAACACAUGCAAGUCGAGCGCCCCGCAAGGGGAGCGGCAGACGGGUGAGUAACGCGUGGGAAUCUACCCAUCUCUACGGAAUAACGCAUGGAAACGUGUGCUAAUACCGUAUACGUCCUUCGGGAGAAAGAUUUAUCGGAGAUGGAUGAGCCCGCGUUGGAUUAGCUAGGUGGUGGGGUAAAGGCCUACCAAGGCGACGAUCCAUAGCUGGUCUGAGAGGAUGAUCAGCCACACUGGGACUGAGACACGGCCCAGACUCCUACGGGAGGCAGCAGUGGGGAAUAUUGGACAAUGGGCGCAAGCCUGAUCCAGCCAUGCCGCGUGAGUGAUGAAGGCCCUAGGGUUGUAAAGCUCUUUCACCGGUGAAGAUAAUGACGGUAACCGGAGAAGAAGCCCCGGCUAACUUCGUGCCAGCCGCCGCGGUAAGAC
rnacentral:rRNA from 1 species